AAUCAACGCUGGCGGCGUGCCUAACACAUGCAAGUCGAACGCGAAAGGGGCUUCGGCCCUGAGUAGAGUGGCGUCCGGGUGAGUAACACGUGAAGAACUUGCCCCGGAGACCGGGAUGACCCUCCGAAAGGAGAGCUAAUACCGGAUGUCCUCGCUGAGUCGCAUGGCUCGGCGAAGAAAUGGAUUCCGCUCCGGGAGAGCUUCGCGGCCUAUCAGCUUGUUGGCGGGAUAAAAGCUUACCAAGCCGACGAUCUGUAGCUGGUCUGAGAGGACGACCAGCCACACUGGGACUGAGACACGGCCCAGACUCCUACGGGAGGCAGCAGUGGGGAAUUUUGGACAAUGGGCGAAAGCCUGAUCCAGCCAUGCCGCGUGCAGGAUGAAGGCCUUCGGGUUGUAAACUGCUUUUGUACGGAACGAAAAGACUCUUUCUAAUAAAGAGGGUCCAUGACGGUACCGUAAGAAUAAGCACCGGCUAACUACGUGCCAGCAGCCGCCGUAACAC
rnacentral:rRNA from 1 species